CACACACACACACACACACACAUACACUGUCUUUGCGCAACGUUUUCCUUGUGCUCUUUAACACACACACACACACACACACACACACACACACACACACACACACACACACACACACACACACACACACACACAUGCAACCUCAGGUGGAACGGGUGCUUGCGGGCGCCGACCGUUGGUACUUUGACGCAUGGAAGCUGGCGGAGGUGGCGCAGGCAAGUCGGCAGCCGCCGUCCUAUAGCCAGCCGGGACCACCGCCGUGACGUACGAUCCGCGCGCGGCCUCCACUUGAACCUGCUGCACACGCACCUGUUCUCAUGGCGUUGGGCUUACACGGCUUCCGCAUGAUCUGGCCAGCCAUUGCCGGCAGCUGAGUUGUGCUCGGCCGCCCUCCCGCACACCUCGCUGGUCACACGCACGCGUAGGGACAUGCGCUGAGCGCUCUGGGCUACUACCUCAUUCAACGGGAGGGGCUGAUUGACAAGUUCCGACUCAAGCCCGUCAUGCUGGCCAGGUAUGGCCGUACGAGCUAACGUUCUUGUGUGUGCCAACGCGAUGCCCUAUCAGGCUGAUGCAGUCGGAGGUGCUGGUCGGGCAGGGCCUCGUGGUGUUGUGUUGUGGUUGUGUCGGUGCCCUCUCGUGGCCUUGCCUUGACGGGGUGGCCUUACUUGUGCCGCGCCCGCUGCACAGGCUCUUGCGCACCAUCGAAUCCGGGUACAACCCAGACAACCCCUACCACAACGCCACGCACGCGGCCGACGUGCUGCAGACGCUGCACGUGAUCAUCCACGGCGCCGGGCUGCACGCAGGUGGGAGCGUGAGAAGCGCGUGCCACCGCGUUACGGAGUUCUGGUGCGCCCUGCGAACAAUCCAGUGCGGACGCUUUCUUGUCGCGUCGUUACGAUGAUCUGGGAGCCAAGCUACUCACUACGCAAUUGUCGACUUGUGUACCGUAUGUGUGUGUAGGCUACCUGGAUCGGCUAGGCCUGCUGGCCGCCUAUUUUGCGGCCAUGGUGCACGACCACGGCCACCCCGGCCUCACCAACGACUUCCUCAUCGCCACCGGGGACGUGCUGGCGGUGCGCUACAACGACAAGAGCCCGCUGGAGAACCACCACGCCGCCUCCGCCUUCGCGCUGCUGCAGCGACACGACCUGGACCUGCUGGGCCACCUGCCGCAGCAGGACCGCGCCGCCUUCCGGAAGCAGGUGCGCGUGGGGGUUGUAACUACCAGCCCAAACUGAACCAAACUAAGCCAAACUAGCGGAGCACAGGCAGCGGCGACAGGGUUAUGUAAGUGGUUGAGCGGUUGGGUGGGCGGUUGAGGUAGUUGGGAGGGUGGGCGUGGGUGUGGGUGCAUUGGUUGUGGGGAUAGCGGGCCAACAUCUUGGGCAGCUCCCGUUAAGGGGAUGCCGGAUGGUGUGUAUGGCACACAGCGUGCUGGGACACAGGAAGGGCGGGGUUAUGAGGCAGGCCCGGGGAGCAUGUGGUGGUAUUGAUUGAUCACGCUGUGCCUUCGUGACUGAUGGUGUUGCCGCAGGUGAUCGAGAUGGUCGUGGGCACGGACAUGAAGCAGCACUUCACCAUCCUGUCGCACUUCAACACCGCCCACCGCCUGCCCAGCUACGCGGCGCAGUCCGCCGCCGUGCCGGCGGGCAGCGGCGCCGCCAGCGCGGCGUCCACCCCCACGCGCGAAGGCCCGGAGCUCUCACCUCCCAGGUGUGACCCCUGCAUGCCCUCACUCACAGCACCAUCGCACUCCACUCUCGCCCUAUUUUUGCACACAGCCGCACGCAUACACUUGCACGCAUUCGCACAUACAGUUUCGAUCCCACCACCUUGUCCUUUCCUUAUAUACACGCACGCUCAAUCGCCCACACACAACAGUGAGCUGGCAUCGGGAGCCACAGCUGCCGCCGGGUCUCUGAGCGCCAGCCCCACCGCCGCCGUGUCCACCGCCCAGCCGCCACCUGGGUCGGCGCCGUCACCCUUGGACGAGGCGGAGCGGCUGCUGACUCUGCAGGUGGCGCUCAAGGCCGCGGACGUGGGACACCUGGGCGAGGAGCUGUGCGUGCAUGAGAGGUGCGCGAGGGGGAGGCGGGCGGUGGGCAGGCGGAGGGUGUGGGGCGGGAAGGAAGAGGAGGUGCAUGGGAGGGGCGCAGGGCGCAGGGCGCGUCAUGAUGCAUGCGACACACGGGCAGCGAUGACGGAAAGCUGAAGACACGUGAUGGUGGGUUGUGGUUGCAGGUGGUUGGGUGUGCUGGAGGAGGAGUUCUUCCGCCAGGGCGACAAGGAGAAAGCUCUGGGACUUCCAAUGAGUCCACUUUUCGACCGCGCCAAGCAGGGCGUCAGCAAGAGCCAAGUGGUGAGUGACACAUGCCACAUGCUACUGUCUAUCACAGAUUUCUAGGUGGUGAGUUAGCCACACCCAGCAGCCCACGCACUCAUCCACGUCCGCAACAUGACCAUGGUCUGGUUGUCAAGGUGGUGCGGGAACAUGUGUGACUACAAUCGAUCUACCUGUAUUAUUGUUAGUGGACGUGCUCAUGCACAUGCGCACACGCCUCCUAACACAACGCGCCUGCUGGCUAUCACAAACUUCCAUCUGCAGGGCUUCUACGACUUCGUAGCGCUGCCUCUGGUGCAUGCGCUGGCGAGCGCAUUCCCGGGUGCGCGGCCGUUGCUGACCGCGUUCCGACGUAACUACGGCCACUGGCGGGCGGUUGAGACAGCGGCCAGCAACUCUGGCAAGUAGUGACUCCCGCCGGGGUCGCAAGCAACCGGUUAGGAUCACGGCUGCCGCCUGGCGCUGGGGGCCAUUUCGUGAUGGUGGUGGGAUUCGGUUGUGUAGUCAACCGCUCUUUGGGUAUCUAGGGAUGAGGGAGGGUCGCAUUGCGCCAUCCGUGGCAGUGGGAUGCGGCAUUUGGUGCCUGAGGGCCAUGCGGGCGCCUUUGGGGAACUGCGGGGUUACUUCUAUUACUCACCAGUCCGCCUGUGAUUCGGGGUGUUUUGAUUUUAGGGUGAAGGGCGGCGUGCGUUGAAAGACGCACAGCAAUUCAGCCACCGCUGAUGCUGCCAGGUUGGCAACAUAAAAUACUAAUGGCAGCAUAAUGAACAAUGCAUUUGAAGUCCUCGACAGGAGAUUCUUCCACGCUUUCAAUGAGGGAUGGUUGUCAUGUGUAGUGGACGUGGCCAUGCAUGUGUUGAACAAAUUCUUUACAGUCGAUGCGCGUGUAUGCUUUGUCCCUGUUGGGUGCCCGCAUGGACGUGGACAUCACGAGUCAUGAGUCGAGGCAGAAGGCACGCAGUAUGUGCGGACGCGCAUGAGGAAGGAUGAAGAGCACGCAUUGCGCAUCGCUCGACUGAGAUUGAUGCCGCAGCCAAUGUUGAAACAUGCUGAACCUAAACAGACGGCGUCCCCAAUCAUGCCCUCUUGCGGUACUAGUGGAGGCAUGGGCCGUGCACGGUUGGUCCAGGGAUGGCGCAAAAAUGUGCAUGGCUUGUGGGUGGCAAUAGGCGGGGAGGGCAUGGUGCUUCACUGCCCCACUCUGUCCUUCAAUUGACGCGGGUCCACGGAAUGUAGCCGACUGCAAUGGGUACGCGGUGAUUGUGAGACUGCUGAUAGCAGCAUGGGUCUCUUCAUGACGGCGUGUGGCGCUGUUGUAUGUGGUGACGGGAAGCUGACGCUGGUGGGGUUUGGCUAUUGGUCGGGGCUGGGGCUGGGUGGCACGGCCCUUGCCUCGUGUGAUGCGCAGUGCUGAAGGGCAGGGUAGUAUGGACUGGGCAGGGGGUGGUAUGGACUGGGCAGGGGGUAGUAUGGACUGGGCAGGGGGUGGUAUGCGUAGUAUGCUGCACCGCACAUCAAAGCGCGUGGCAGCACGAAAGAGUUGUGAAAAGAGGCCAUGUGGGGUUCACCUCAACAGUUUUGAUCACAAGUCGCUCUGCACCGCUUGCCAAGGUGGUGGUGGUAGUGCGUUCCGCUUAUGCGUGGUGUCACGGGUGUAGAGGACCACUGAGCAGUGUGGUGAAAUAUGCACUGGUGUGCCCUGCAGGUGCGGGCAGCAGCUUGCUGCAGGGUGCACCUCCAGAACACCGUUUGGGCGGGCCGACGUGGGUGAGGUGUACCCUGGAUGCUGUAGGGCGUUGGCCUGAACGGCGCUUAGAACGCAACUGUACAGCAUGGCAGUGCCGCAACGGGUGAUGUGGGUACAAUGAUAAAUGUCAAUCAGUUAUGGGUGUUUGGUCGGUGCUAAUUGGCGUCCCUCGUAACGGCGCUGGUGACCAUGAAAGCCAGUGCGUUUGCUCCUUGCCUAGUUGCCUGCACUUGGUAGGCUACAAGCACGCCCGUGAACCCGUCCGUGUGCUCACUGUGGCUGCGCGGCAGGCGGCUGAGUAAAGCCUGAUGGGGGCUGAGGAGCACAUCUUGUGCCGUGCGUCAUGAGGAGUAGUACGAUAAACAGCUGAAUAACAUGGUGAAUGCCAGGAAGAUGGUGGGCCUGUGUGGUAAAGUCAUUGGAAUUGCCAGCUCGGGGAUGGAGGUCAGCCCGGUGCUGAUGGUGGCGCUGGAUGCGAUUCAUGUGCUGCUGGGGCCGUCGGAGCAGCGCGUGGUGAGCACUGGGGCUACCGUAUUGGGGAUCAGUUGAGAAGGAUGGGCGCGCGCUGCCGAUUGUUCACUCGCAUUGCCACUGUGGCGGUGGUGGCGUCAACAUAAUAUGCGCGCGUUGUCAAGGUAAACCUACCCCUCAGCCCCUGACACUAGCACUUGUUCCGAUGUAUCCGCUGCGUGGUUCUGCAGGACGGAUCUGAGCCGCCGCCGGCGCUGCAGGCGGUGGUGCGGCGGGAGUUGCGGCGGCUGGGCGCGCCGCGCCUGCUGGCGGACUGCGUGCGGGAGCUGCGGCUGCAACAGGCGGACGAGCAGGGCGAGGAGGGCCGGGCCCAGGAGGAGUGGGAGCGGGCGAGCGGGCGCACGGGCCACAGCGGGUAAUGGUCGCGUGCUUCCCGGAGCGGGAGCGGUGACGGGCUGUAACUAGCAGUGUCCUACCCCGCUGCGAAGCUGGGGCCCGCAGGUCCAUUGCUAGCUCCAACGCGACAGUCCCUGGCAGCAAGGACCUGACCAUUCCCAUCUCCAACUGCAGCGUGCCAGCCUCCUACGGCACGCGGUUAAUUUGCAUUUGUAGCUGAUCCUCAUAGCUAUGGUGCCGCAGGAGCCCAGGCGACAGGGUCACGGCCACCGCCGCCUGCCCCGCGAACACGUUCCACAACACAAAAGGCAACAUCACAGCAAGCCAAACCCUGUCCCCCGAAGUAACAGGAGAUGGGAGCUUGAAAGCCUGGGGCCGUGCCGUACGCACGCGUAGGCCCACGUUCUCGCCCACACAGCACGUCUGCUGGCUACCUCCAGAGAGCCAGCCGCAUGAUCACUACGACAUGAAUGUACCAGCAGCAGUUCGUUCCCGACCACCAUUCUUCUGCUGCCGCCGGCACAGGCCCCACACAUGAAUGCGCAACCCACUGACGCGCACUGGUACGGUACACACAGCCCCUGCGAUCCAGCCGCCUCCAGGCCAGCCGGCCCAUCCUCCUCGAACCAAUCACACCCGCAAUCGCACGGCAGUAGCAAGCACAUCUGGAGCUUUAGCCCCCGCCACCGCCCCCGCCACCGCCCCCGCCACCGCUGCGGCCGCCGCGCUGCAGCAGCGCUUACUGCUGCUCGCCGGCGGCGGCGCGGAUGACGUGGCGGUGGCUGGAGUCUGAGCCGCCGGUGGCGCCGCGGCGCACGGCAGCGGCCGCCGCCUCGGCCAGGCGGCUGGUGCCGGCGGCGGCGAGGUCGUCGGGGUCGUUGCGGUCCUUGAUGCCCCACAUGCCGCCGUGCAGCUUGCCGGUGCGCACGUCCUGCUCCAUCUGCCACUCGGGCUCGCCAUACCUGUGUUGUAAUUGGAAACAAACAGAGGUACAGAGUCGACAAGAGUGUAGGCGCACAAAUGCUCCAUUCCUUUCACAUGUUCACACACACAUGCCGCCACGCCCGCCGCCCGCCCGCCCUCACGCCCGCCCGCCCGCACCAGCAGUCGCCGCUCUCCAGCUGCAGGCUGUUGUCGCCGCGGCGCACGCGGAAGAAGCCGCGCUCACCCCAGUAGGUGCCCCUGCAGGCGGCAGGGGUGGAUAGCGGCACAGCACAGCACGUCAGCUAACAAGCGACGAAAACCCCGUGCAUGCACACACACACACACACACACACACACACACACACACACACACACACACACACACACGCACACACGCACGCACACAGGUGCGGUUGAGACACGGCUCUCACCAUCAAUGCAUUGCGAGCCUGAUGCUUUGCAUUGCGGGUCCCACACGACGAACCCUGUCGCUGGUGGGCCAGCCAGGCCAUCGCAGCAACAGCUCGCUAAGGACCCCGGCAACUCACCAGCUGUUGCGCACGAUCCAGUACUUCUCGCCGUCCUCCUCGCCCCAGCCCACAACCUCCACAUCUGCGCAGUCAAGAAGGCCACAGUGUAAGCGAGUGGCAUGUGCUGUUGCGCACGACCACUCCGCGUCGCCCCCCGGGCCGCCAUCCCACCACAUCCUUGCAACCCCCCCCCUCCGCCGCACCGUGGUCCAGCUCCGUGUCGCCGCUGGUGUCCUUGUAGAUGCCGCCGUUGUAGUGCCACGUGAAGUCUUCCGGGCACACCUGGCCGCACGUGAUGGGGCCGCGGUGGUAAAUCUCACUCAUCAUGGCCUGUGGUGGUCGGGGGAAUUAUGGGAGGGCGGAGCAGGGGGCCAGAGCGGUGAGGAAGGGCAGGGCAGGACGGGAGGCCGUGAGUUGCAGGCGUGAAGGCUCACAGGAAUUCCGGCGCACGCACUGUGUACUGUGUACCCGCAACUAGCUAUGCAACCACGCCUACCACCUCCAGCGCUCCACAACUACAAGAGUCAUGCGCAUUUCUCUGAAGCGCCCGCCACGCCACGCCACGCCACGCCACGCCGCGCCACGCACACGCCCCGCCUGCCUCACCUCCACGCCCUUGUCGACCUGGCCCCAGGCAGUGAGGUAGUAGCGGAUGGGGCGGUGGAUGGGCCAGCAGGUCUCCACGCCGUCCAGCGGCAUGCAGUUGUUGCACUCGCCAUGCGCGGGGCAGCGCUUGUGGCCGGGGAACUUGGUGUGGUCGGUGGCGUUGUAGGUCAUGCAGCCCUCGUCAGGCAGGCCGAAACUGCGGGGUGAUUGGUGGGUGGGUGAGUGGGUGGGUGAGUGGGUGGGUAGUGGGUCGGUUGGAAGGAGGGUACGCCUAGAUUACAACACGGAGGGGUGGACAAUAUGGGAUACACUGGGGCGGGGCGGCAGGAGGGGAGGGUGAGGGCCGCCCAAACCGUGACUCGCCUUCCCAAGGGCCGGGCCCCUGAGGGCCGCAGGGCCGGUUGUAAGGCAAGAUACCCCACGGCUGAGCGCACGCUAGGACCGUGCGCGUGCACGUGUGUAUUUGCUUCCGUGCCUGCGUUAGACAGCACAAGGCCUGCGCGUGUGUCAUGUGUGGCCCCGCCACCACUCGCCGCACACUCACUCGGUCAUGUACCCGAACACGUCCACCGUGUCGCCGCCGUCGCAGCCGUUGCCGUAGCCCUCGAACGCCGCGCAGUUGAGCAGCGUCUGGCGCGCCAGCAUCACAUCCGGCGUCUCACCCUUCUUCAUGAUCUUCAGGCUGCGCGAUGUGGUGUGCGAGCGUGCGUGCGGCAGGGAGAGAGGCAGGCUUGCGGUCAGCGCCGUCGAGGACGCCAAACGCGGACGCGAAUACGGUAUCGAGGCGUGCACGCGGCGCCAACCAUGCAGACGAAUGCCUGAGCUCCAGACUCAUGACAUCACAGACGCAGGACCGAAUCACUGGUUGCGCCCGUCUCCCAACGAAGCCUGCUGGAAAUUCACGCGCGUAACCCAACCCGGUUGUGGGAGAUGCGCCCCACCGGUCCUGGAUGGCCGACAAUGUGCCGUGCACCCAGCAAGAGCCGCAGUAGUAGGGGAUGUGCUGAUUCCAGUUGGCGACGCAGUAGCUGACGCCAUCCACGUUGCACUGCGCGGGUGGAGGGAGCGGCGGAGCCGCAGUGUGUAAAGGCGCGGGAAAGGGAAUAAAGGUGUGCGGAGCCCCGGGACCAGCACGUGUCCGCCGGUUUUAUCUCCCCGACUUCGCGGGCCCCGCCCCGCAAUCCCCAGCGCGCAAUUCUGUAUGCUUCCAUGACACAUAGGCGCGCACCCAGUUCCAGUUCUUUGGCAGCUCGUGCUCCUUCUUCAGCGGCGCCGGGACGUGGUUGAAAGACGUGCGCCGGCCCUCGCGGGGCUUUUGCAGACUCUUAUCGCGAGGACCAUGGCCCUGCCAGUUCUUGCCCGCGUCCACGCCCAGCAACGCGACACUCAGGCCAAUUGCCAACACUGCGAGCGCCCGGCAAAGUGGGCCGUGCAUUUUCAUGCCGGGUACUACUAAUAGGAUCACAGGCACACUAACAAAACAGUAUUCAGAAAGUACCCUACUGACGUAAAAUCCCGCCGAUUCUGGCCUCAACGGAUGACGGAUUGCCCGAGUCCGUGUCUUGGAACUAGUUAUGAUAAACACAAGUUAUAAGGCUCUAUGCCAGCAAACUAACAAACGUCGUCCGGAGUGCCGGAACCGACAACGUGCCAUACCCUUGCAUUCAGCACUCUGCCUCCAUAUGCCCCGUCACACACGCGUACACAGGUCCGGCCACACCUCUCCCUGGCCCUCUUCCUGGCCCUGAGGCCUGAGCAUGUGGAUGGAUGGUCGGUUUGGCAUGCCGGUGUUGGUCUUGUCGGCCGCACAGCCAGUGUUUAGGCCGCUUUUAGGCCUAUGGCGUGGGGGCCCCCUCCCCCGCGCUGCUGACUUGCACGAGCGGUACCUGGUGUUGUCCACGUGCCCACGCCGUGUUGGGCGAAUACGCUAACCUUCACUGUAUGGACGUGCAAGGACGUGCGGGGGCUAGGCGUCGGACCAUGCUGCUGAGGCCGUUAGGCCCAUCGAUGCUCGGGCACAUGGCGUCCAUUACCCCUUUGAAGUAGCCCGGAAAACGGGAGACACUGUCUAACGCUUCCACACCAUCAACUCUUUCCUCAGACUUUGGUUUCGAUCAAGUCCAAACUAGAAUGGCUCGACGAGCCUUGCACAUUACCGCUUUCGCGAUUUUGCUCACGUCUCUGCCGCUCUUAGCGAUCGCCGACCCUGAGGACAGCUAUGCAGAUCUGGCUGCUCGCGUGGUGCCGGCGAAAUUGCGGCAAGCCCUAAAGCUGCUGCCGUGCUUGACCGCGGACACGGGUGAGGCGCUCGGACCGGCGCUAGUGCGCUACUGUGCAGAGCUCGAGCCGGCAAGCUUUGGAGCGCCUGUGUGUGUACGUGGCUCGUAUCGGCUGUGGUGCCGCUUAAUUUGGGGGUUCCGGCGCGGGGGCUGCGGGGGCUGAAGGGGCGGUUAGGGUUUUCCCGACGGCAAACAGGCUACCCCUCCGGCCGCCUGCUAGCCGGGCCCGCCUACUCCAGCCUACACCAACAAGCCGGCAAUCCAACAUGAGCAAGCAUGCGUAUAUUGCCAUAGUUAUCUUGUUUGGACCAAGGACACAGAAAGCAGCUGACGAGGCGCCGCGUCAGCCUGCGAACCUCUGCCUGGCGCCGGGUUCCCCUACCACCGCCUGCCCCAACCAGUCCUGUCCUUCCCUCCUUCCUGCUCUCCGUGCGACGCGCUCCCCCCGCCACAAACAAACACGCACCUUGUGCUCUUUAGCACACAUACAGAGCCGCUGUCUGCUUGCGCAUACUUCACAUGCACUGAUACACUGUGUCGAACACUUGCCCUUCCACUUGUGCUUUCCUCUUUCCUACACACACACGCACACGUGUGUUCCAGGCCCCGGCGAGGUCAAGCCGCUGCGUGUGUCACUGCUGGAGGCGCGCGAGCAGCUGGACGUGUUCAGCUUCGCCUUCCCCAACCGCAUCCGAGACGCGGAGCCCCUGGCGUCCGCCGAGGUGCUCACCACCUGGGGUCGCGUCAAGGCCGCCAUCGGCGAGCUCCUGAGGGCCAUUGUCGACUGGAUCAACAAACACGUGAUCGACACAGGCGUCAGGGGGCUGGUGCGGCGCGGGGAGCCGCAGCAGCAGCAGCAGCAGCAGCAGCUGCAGGCCGCGGCUGACACGGCAUACCACCGGCACAAGGGGCGGGACCUGUGGCUGGACAUGCGUGCGGACCUGGAUGAGGGGUACGAGGUGCUGGGGGACUUCCAGGUGUGUGUGUGUGGGGGGGAUAAGGGGGGGAGGGGGGGGUGGAACGGCGCGGGUUGUGGGAGAUGAGGAAGGGCCACGAUUGACGCCAGUGCGCUGUUUGCCACGCCCUGUCACUACACGCCCAGUCACAUACGGUACCUGCUUCCACUGCAGCCACCUGGUGUCCGUCCGGUACUUAACGCCUGACUGGCUUCGGGUUUGUCUGAGUCAUGUCAGGCCUUGCAAACUCGUGCCCUGUCCGUCCCUUUCCCCUUAACUCAACCCCUCCUACACCCCCGGGUUCGGUUUAGUUUGGGCUGGAAUCUACAGCCCCCUUCUAACGCUUUCUUCACUGUUGGGACAUGUUUCGUUGGGAUCGGGCAAAUACCCCUUGCCCCGCGCUCUGUGGGCUGGUUCUGGGUUUUGGUUACUUUGGGACUGAAAUAAAGUAACCCUCCUUUUCCUGCCCCAGGACCUGGACCACUCGCUUGUGGAGUACAACCAGACUGACAUGGAGGUCAAACGGGCCGUGUGCCUGGACUGGCAGAGGCGCAUCAGCCGCCACAGCGCCACGUGAGGGCGGGGAGCGGGGAAGGGCGGGGAGGGGGAAAGGGUGGGGAGCGGAGUCUUGGGCCUUGGGUCUGCCCCGUGGCGGGUCCGUACGUGCCGCAUGGCUGCCGCGCUGUGUCUGGCGUAACCCAAACCCCGCACGCAACGCGGUUUCCCACGGCUCCUGUCCAUACUUGACCCCUGCUGCCCGCUCUGCCCACGCAGUGACCGCUAUCUGGAGUUUGUGAGCACGCCGCUGCACUCGGACGAGCUGUACACGCACAAGCACUCCAGCAAGUGAGGCGCCGCCCGAACCCGUGUGUCGCACGUGCGUCGCAUGGGUCUGCAGGACGCGCCGUGUGCGCGUGUUGCCUGAAUGAGGAAACCCAACGCUGAUGAUCCGUUCGGCCGCAGCGCUGGCUGCACUGCCACAGCUCUCCGUGUCCGCCUCACAUUAUUGGUCGCCUGUGCACCUGUUGCAAAAUGCGCACACGCCGCACCCGGGGGCUCCUGUGCCCUGACGCCAUCAACGUGCUGCCUGUGGCGCCACCCACACCGCCAUCAGCACCACCACCACUACCAUCACUAUCUGGCAUCACGCCUCCUCCACACCCCUCACCCUGCCCCCCUCAGGCUGUUUUGGGGCUACAACGGCGUCACUCCCGACACGGCGCUGACCGGGCUGCAGAACCUGGCGCUGAUGAUGCGGAGCAGGUGUGUGUGUGUGUGUGUGUGUGUGUGUGUGUGUAUAUGCGUGUGUUUGCUUUUGCGUUUGUGUGCGUGUGCGUGUGUGUGCGUGUGUGUGUGUGUGUGUGUGUGUGUGUGUGUGUGUGUGUGUCAGGCACGUGCGGGUGUGAGGUGGGGGAAACACACGUGCGGGCGGGGGGCAUCAGUCCGCGGGCGGGCGCCGGGCGGGCGCUGCGACCCCGGGCAGCCCGCCGCCACGCACAGGUGCGCGCCCUGUCUGUGCCUUUACCGCAUACGUCUUGCCUCCACACACUCGGCCCUGGCCCCAGCCUGAGCACACAACCCCCCUCGCUCGUUUGCAUCGGGUUUGGUUUACCUGGGCUGGUAUUUAUCCCCCCCGUGGCUGUUCCCCAAGAUUGUCUACCACUUCCAUUAGUCAUUAUGAAUGUAACCCCCCCUGUACACACCCGCCCGCAGUCAGCUGGCCCAGCUGCUGGCCUGGUACCCCAAUGUGACGGCGCUGCAGCCCGAUGACCUGCUGCAGGUGCGGGGCGUGGCGUGGGGAAGCGGGCGCAAUGGUGCAUGCAGCUCCCACCCGGGAUGGAGUGACACUGGGGCUCCGCGGGGGAUCGGGCUCCGUCCUGCGGCGUGUGGACAGACUGGAAGAACCUGCUUCACGUGUGUUGUCGAGUCAUCCUAUCCACCCACCCCACCCCAAUCACCACAGGACCCCGGCCACACCACCUUCCACAAGUUUCGCAAGCUAAUCAGGUGCGUGCCGCCGGGGUCAUGUGCACAAGUAUGGUAUGGAUCCAGGAAGCUCAUGUAGAAAUGGGUGGAGCGGCCUUCGUGCUGUGUUGCUUGUCAAGGCGUCAUGUCUUUGCUAGCCUACUUCCCGGUACGCGAUAUCUGCACAGCAGUAUGUGGACCGCUAUGAUAGAGCAUUUUGUAUGCAACGCCAUGCAAUUGUUACAUAGCAUCGUGGCCACAUCAGCAACACUGGAUCAACCCGGCCUACCCUCCACCAGGUCUAUUCUGGCGGUCCUGGCGGAGUUCCCCGAGCUGCUGGGCCCCGGCCGCAAGGAACCACACACCCGUGUCGCAGAGGUGGAGGGGGAGGCGCGGGCUGCCGCCGCGGCCACCACCCUGGCUGCGCGGCGCGCCCUCUCCAGCUACUCCAGCAGCAGCAGCAGCAGCAGCAGCCUGCAGCUACGCCGCAGCGGCGGCGGCGGCAGUGGCAGUGGCAGCCGCAAUGACGGUGUGGCGGUGCGGGACCCGUGUGACGCGGGUGCGGCGCUGAAGGCCCUCCAGCGCCUGUUCCACGACCUGGGCCAGACCAACGACAAGGUGCGGGGGGCAGGGCCGUGUGUCGGAAUGGUGGGCGCGUGUGUGGGUUGUGGGCUUGGGCACGGGCAGGGGACCUGGUAUGUCCGUGCGGGGUUCCGACGUCGAAGCGGCUGCGUGAUGGCAUCCGCGGCCAACACAAACCCCCUGCGAGCGGCUCGACACCCAACCUGCUGCGGUCUCGCCCGGCGGCGGGUCCGUCCCGGCGCUGCGCCCUCCCUACUCAGGUAUUCGCCUACCAGUUCUACUCCUCCCGCGGCGCCGAGUGGGCUGCCGAGGCGGAGGAGGCGCACCAGCAGGCGGCGGAGGGCUGGUCUGACAACCUGGACUUCAUGGCCUCGGCGCAGGUGGGCGCAGUGAGGGGUUAGUGUGAAUCGGUCCCAAAGGAACCGAGACCCAGGACUCGGGGGGGGGGGGGGAGGCGGAGGCGCGGGCGCGGGCGAGACUGGUGGGAGCCUGGGAUCGGGAGGUUGUCGAGUCGCUCUCAGCUCACAUCAGACACGUGGGGACUGAGGGGCUGGAGAGGAUGCCGGCUGUACGGGGGUAAGGAACAACAGAGGGGAUGUGGGUCGGGUCGGGCGUCGUGCGGGUUGUGGGUGACAGCGGCUGGUGCCGCUGGUUGCGAUAAAGCAGGCAUCCAAAAUCGCUUGUUCCGCAACCAUGCACCUUCCAGGACAAUGCCAGCGGCUCUUGGACUGCAUUUUGUGCCUGGCCGUGUUGCUUUCGCACAUGCUUUUGCGAGCUCGCCCCCUUGCCUCCCCCUUCUGAGAUGGAGAACAGCGGCAUGUCCCCUGUCCCUGCUCCCCUCCUCCUCGUCUCCCUGUCCUCGCGUUCCCCUCCGCGCCUCCGCCCGCUCCACUCAGGUUGACGUCAUGGCUCGGUGCAUUGCCGCCACACUGCCGCGGGGGGAGCAGCCGCUGCCCCAGCGCCGCCGCCGCCACAUGUAGAGCUAGGCGGGUGGGCAUUUGCAGCCCUUGUACUACCCGCAAUGGAUCAUAAAUACAUUUUACAGCCGUUGCAGCGCGUGCUGCAUGCAUUCAUGCUAGCGUUGGUUCUUUCACGGCGCUUAAAACAGCCGCAGUAGCCCGGUGGAGUAGCAGUCAGACGUGCAAACGUAUAAGGAUGUUGGGGGCUAAGCUGCGCGCUCGCGUGCGCUCGCGCGCACACGCCCAGCUACUGUGCGUAGCUGCUGCGGUGGCGGCGCCAGUGACUCCAAUCAUGUGCUGCGACCCAGCAAAACUGUUGUGUGCGCAUGCGUUUCAGUAAGUUGGGAGCGCUUGUUGGCGGCAGGAGUUUGUGGUGCAGGGGUAGUCAAGUUGUUGAUCGUGUCUGAGGCCUGUUGCACGCUCGGCACUUUGAUUCGAGGCUGGCAUGGGUACUGCUGCUCGAGAGCACGCAUCGCUGGGCUGUGUGUUGGGCUUCUGGGACUGGGAUGCAGACGUGUUGCUCAAAUGCAGUUUGCAACAAGCGCGGGCCUCACAGUGCCCUCCACGGGUGCGACAGCCCCCAUUGUGUAUAAGGGCCAUCCGUGGCUCUCGCCAACGCGGCGCCCCCACACGCGAACAAUGUGUUGGGCUUGCGCCUAGGACAGACGACCACUUAGGACGCUGUAUGAGGGCCAGCGCUAAGACAGGAUCAACCUUAUCUAGCUCCUUACAUGAACGGACCUAGGCCGGACGGCUGGGGAGUUGCUUUUAUUCCGGUUGCACCCGGGGGUUGCAUCUAUCCGUAUUGAUGUGUUGCGGGGGCUUGCAGGCGUGGUUAAGAUGCUUUUGCAAGGGUUGGCUAGCUCUUAAGCCCGGGCGCAUCAUUGCAUCGGCCUCUUUUGAUGCUACUGUAAGGUUUGGCUGAUGACAGCUUUGCGCACGCAAACGUGCUUGGAUUGGGUCGUCAAGCUUCAAAAGACGCGUUUCGCAUGGCCUAUGGCGAUAACGUGCUUCCAGGUGCUGAAGUAGCCGCGUUGGCGCGCGCGAUGGCGGCCAUCAGCGGUUCGCCGCGGCCAUCGAGACUCCCUAGAGGGCACGGUAAGUCUUCAGCUUCAGUCCGCUACUCGAAAUUGGUGUGCAUGGAGUUCAUAGAGGAUAUGACUCACGGUACUGCAGCUGCGCAUUGACAUUGACGAGUAGGGCGCGCGCCCUCCGAGUGCGCGCCAACUGCACCCGGGCAGCUGCCGAUGUACGGCGCUCGUCCGAGUUCUCCUAGCAACCUCUCAUGAGCCAUCGCAGUAUUAAAGCACUGUGGCAUCGACAAUUUCUUACAACCCUAAGCAAUUACAACUGCGACAUCUUACGAAGCUCAUCAGGUCAGACUUAGCGUUUUGCAACAAUCAGCCUCUUCAUCACCAAACUGCAAACAUGAAUUUAGCAGCCAUAAAUAGGGUCAAAGUUUUAGUAGCUGUCUGCCUGGCAAUCGCGGCGCCAACACACGCAGCGGGCACCGGCGCGCGGCCUGAAUCGGUGGCGGCCUUCCUGCGCGGCGGCAACUUGCCAAGCAUGGGCAACAUAGGUGAGUACUUGAAGGCAACUGGGGAUGGGCUGGUAAGGGGUCAGGGGAUUGUAAUCAGCAGCGUCCAAUCUGGCUUACAGCGCCAACAGACCUUAGACUAAUGUUAACGACCAGCACCAGCACGCACAAGCACCGUGUGUGAUGUUGUGACCAAACCCGUUCAACACUCACUUCAUUUGCACAUAACUGUCCCUGCUGUGCCGCGCAGGUGCACUGGCAGCAGGGACUUCAUCCAUCACUCCCGCUACUCAGGCAGCCGCCACCAGCACCGCCCGACCGCUGCAGCGCCUGCUGCAAUCCGACCCCACACUGCCCUUCACCUGCACCGGCAUCUCCCCGCCACAAAACUGCAAGCCGUCGCCGCUCUUUGGCAACAGCAUGGACUGCAGCCAGGCCACCUGCCCCCUGGAGCCCGCGGACGCCACCACGUUUGAGGACUGCGUGUGCGCCACGAACUGCCGCGGCGCAGUGAUGAUCGCGCAGUGCGCGGUGGGCUACAGGCAGUGCGACCAGAGCUGCGUGCCCUUGAUGCAGACUGGCUGCCCCAGCUCCUGCUACCUCAAUGUAAGCCUGGGUUCUAGCCGCCUGGGGUGGGCUUUAAACCUUACUUUGGAGUUGCGAGGCAAGGGUUGGCAGUCGUGUAGUCAAGUGUCAUCAAGUCUGUGGGAGUAGUCCGGGGCCCUGCUGCUGCCGGGAAGUCAGGCUGUGCACCAGCAGCCUGUCAGGCAGGGGUGCCGCUACUAGUCACAGCCUCUCUUGCUGCCGCACCCAGUAAAUUAGGGCCCCUGCCGCAACACGCACGAUGACUCACCUGCGGCGACUCACCUGCGGCCCAAUGUGCCCCUGCCACCUCCCCCCCCCACCUCAUCCACCGCCCACCCCUGCAGUUGGCGUUCUACACCUACUGCCGGUGUUCACCGGCCGAGGUCGCGGAGUGCGUGCAGUCGGUGGUGGAGGCAGUCAAACAGACCUACCUGCAAGUGUGCGCCAAGCUGCCGCGCCGGGAUGGCAGCCCCGUCAACGCAUUGCCGCCCCAAACCUGGGAGCCCGCGCCCGCGCCCAUCCAGCCGGAGCCGGAGCCAUUCCCUGAGCCGGAGCCGUCCCCUGAGCCGGAACCGUCCCCUGAGCCGGAACCCACCCCUGAGCCGGAACCGUCCCCUGAGCCGGUGCCAUCAUCUUCUCCCUCGCCUACCCGCUCGCCCUUACCUUCGCCUGCUGCUUCUCCAUCACCCUCCCCAUCCCCCAAGCCGUCGCCCUCCCCGGCCCUCCGGCCACCGCCCCCUUCCCUAAGCACCCCGGAGCCUGACGCCCUCUACGGCCCGCCUCCAGCGUGGGAGGACGCCUCUCCGCCGCCGCCCUCCCCACGGCCGCCACGCCCGCGCCCGCCCAGCCCCAAAGCCUCACCGCCGCCCAGCCCUCAGCCCUCUCGUACUUCACCCAGCCCCGUGCCUCUCCUUCCUCCCCAGAGCCCACAGUCCCCGGAUCUGCCUUCUCCCGCCGAGCCUCCCAGCCCCGAGCCACCCAGCCCCGAGCCACUCACCCCCGAGCCACCCAGCUCUGAGCCACCGUCACCUGAGCCGCUGCUGCCGCCCCAGAGCCCCAGCUAUGGACAGCCCACGCCGGCCCCUUCCUACAGUCCUGCUCCCCCGUACGGCGGCUCGUACCCGCCUUCGCCUGUGUACGGGCCGUACGGUGGCGUUCAGCCGCCACCGCCUGCUGCUUACGGGUCGUACGGCAGCCCUCCUUCGCCAGUGUACGGCGGUUACAGCUCAAGUCCGUCCCCCUCCGCAGCUUAUGGGUCCACCGAUACGAACCGUCCGCCUCGGCCGCCACGCAAGCUCCAUUCCCGGCCGCGCCCCGUGCCGCAGUGAGGGGCUAGGGGCGUGCUCCCGAACAUGCAUUUGAAUGAAUUGCAUGGUACCACGCAGCAGGUGCAGGCAAAUACAAUACGGUAUUCGUACAUAUAGAGGAAUGCCGCACAAAAGCGCAUUCGCAUGUUGGUGUGUGCGUGAGGUUGAGCAGUUUCGAGCAGGGCUUUCCUGUACAUACUUCAUCUGUACAUACUUCAUCUGUCUUCAUCGGUGCGGAACUGCAUUGAGCAGGCCAGUAGCGGGAGCUAAUCAGGGAUCCGCGGGUCGCCUCCGCCUCGAAGCAUCUUAUUUAUCACCGUAUUGAAUGUAAGCAUGGUGUGGGCCUGAGUAACAGCUCUAUGUCCAGAGCAGUCCAGAACCGUGUGCAUGUCUCUGGGUGUCCAAUCCCAGCAGCGCCGGCCUGUAGCCUUUGCCCGGUAGUCGUGUUUAUAUGUGGGUGUUCCUAUGGUGGUACGGGGGGGUUGGCUGCACACAGGAUCAGUACAUUCACGGACACACGCAUGGACACGCAUGACGUACAACGCAUGGUGUGGAGCGGGGGACGGAGGUUCGCUGCGAACGUUAUGAGCUGUAUGGGGCGGAUGCAAUGACAUACUGUAGUGGGUGGCGCAGCGGACCACGCAACAAACAUUUGCAGGAUGGCACAUGAGCAUGGCAUCUCCACCUGACGAGGUUGCCGCACGGGGUUGCCGGUCAAGGGAGCUGCACCGGGUUGUGGUGUUGGCAUGCAACUCGGGCGUCAGGUGCCACGGGCUGUAACACGUAUUUCGGUAUUUGUGACAAGACACCAACCAUGGUGCUUACCCGUGUCCCCCGAGCCUGAACGCCACCAAUCAGUCACUGGGAGCCCCAGAUUGGCAGGCCUGCAAGGCAAUUGCGGUAGUUGAUGUCAGGCGGCGCCGCUCCCCCAAGGCUGGUUUCGCUUCCCCCUUCGGCCCCAACCCAAUGUCCACUUCCGUAGGCCCAGGGACAUGUCAUCCUGGAAAAUUGGAAACGCGUUGACUUACACUCGGCUGGGUUCUUCUUCUCGAGGGGGUAUCGCGGAGAUAUCCGAUGAAUGAUAGCUAGGGAGCUCUCCAGUGUCGAGUGACCAGACACACCCCUUCGCAUUGUACACGUAACCAGCAGGUGAAUCCACGAGCGUGCAGAGCAGCGUAUGUGCAGGUCCUGAUAGUGCAUCGCCAACAACAGUGCUCCCCAGUGUACCGGUAGGAACGCCACCGGGACCAGGGCAUGCCGGGACUACCGGGCCGGCCAUCAUUGCCACGACAGCCAUCUGCAGUAGGUGUGGCUCAGUCAAUGUUAUUGAUACACAUGUAACACAAGUAUCUUACUAAGCUAUAUUAUAACUGCAUUAUAAAUCGAACGAACGCGUAAGAACUUCCGAUUCCGCCACCCACGACGACCUCGUUCACAGUCACUUCACAUUCUGCGUCCUUACGCUUCCCAAGACUCGUCACUAAAACCAACAUCCAGCUGCAAAUCACAGCGCACUGCACGAGUCGGUCGUCGACUCACUUGGCCGCGAUGGCGUCGGUCGCGCACUCGCACUCCCUGUCCACACCCGCUGUCACCCCUAAACGCUGCUGCCUUAGCGCUCUGACCUCGCCGCUAGCUCGAUGCAUCGGGCCGCUGGGCCACGCAGCGGCUUCUCGGGCAGCGCCGACGUCCCACGCCUCAGCAAGCUCUGGUCCCGCGCUCUCAGUGCACGCCUCCGUUUUAACGCCCCAGCCCGCAGCUCUGGUAACACCGCGUCCCCAGUCGCCAGCAGUCCCUGCGCCUCUCGCACCGACUCUCAGGUCACUGCUGCUCUCCGCAGCCUCCAGCUUGCCGUGCACGCUGCUGGCAGCAGCUGCCUGCUCCGCUGCGGAGCGCUCGGCCUCCGCCGCCGCCACCGCCGCAGCACCAGCAUCAGCAUCAGUGGCAGCAGCACUGACGUUUGAGCCUCGGGCACCGGAAGCGGGCGUGCUGGCAGCCCAGGUGCUGGUGCUGCUGCUGACGGCGGGCGCUGGCGCGUACUGGUGGUACGUGGUGGUGCCGACGGAGCGCGCGGCGGUGGGGCGUAGCAAGCGGCUGGGCGCCCUCAACAACUACCUCGGAGAGCUGGAGGCGCCGCAGGCGACACAGGAGCGCAAGUGGGUAUGCUAUGGUGAAAAUGUGGGCUAAGGAGCUAGGGAUGGAGGGACGGUAGGAGUGAGACUGGACGGCGGUCGUGGUGGGGGGCGCGGGUGCAGGUUCGGCUAACAUAGUGGCAACGAGACAGCGUGGGCGGACCCGGCUGUGCUUCCGGCAUGCUCUUGCCUCAGCCUCCCAUGCACGUUAUCCUUUGCCGCCCAGACUGGAGCGCUGGUUCUACACCGACUGGCUGCAGCAACGCGAGAAGCGCCGCCAACGGCUGGGCAAGCCUGCGGCGUCAGCCGCCGCUGCCGGCUCUGCGGCAUCUCCCGCCGCUGCCUCUCCCACGGCAACCCCUGCCGAUGCCUCCGAUGGCGGGGCCCCGAGCCCAGAGGACCCGUACACUGGCGAGCACGUGCCGUACAGCGAUGACCUGCUGCGACCCACUGUGGAGACGCCCACGCCGCGCUUCUUGUCCCUGGACAACCCGUUGGUCGCCACGGCGGCGCUGCUGACGCUGGUGGGCGUCGUGUCCACGCUUUUGCAUGGGUAAUGGGUGUGAUGAAGUGGCCUAGGGUCGUCAGCGCCCCAAGGGAUACAUUGCGGCUUUUCGUGUCCACUGGGUAGGUUGGGUAGAUAAUCAUGCGAACAGUGUGUAUCAAAGAUAGAAGUGCCGAGUACCCCUGCACCUGGCUUUCGUUCUCUUUGUACGUCAGGACGAUGAGAAAUGCUUGCUAAUACGACGUAUCAGUGGUGGGGGCUCAGCCUGCUGUGUUGAUGCUGUGUUGAGAGUGGGCAGUGGAGGCGUGCAGGGAGCGGCUGCGUAGAUUAACACAGGUGUCCUUGCUAGGACUGUGGGCUACGAGGAUGGGGGUUGUCUCGCUUGGAGCGCAAGUGGCGUGAGCAAGGCUGCAAGGGCUGUGCAGUGUGCAGUGCCUGGCAGUGUUUGUGAAGGCGUUGCGGCGUCGGCACGUGCACACCUGAUAUGAAGGCUACUACCACAUGGGAAAUGCAAGCCACCUAUGUGAUGCACGUUUGUGAUGCUACCGUUGCUAUUGUAUAGGAGUAGGACUGGCACGACGAGAGGAUAGUAACGAACGGGGCAAGGCAACGGGGAGCAUGUCAUUGGAGUAUGGAAAGUAGCGACACUCAGCGACUGGACUUGCCGGCUAGCGGGCACUGGCGCUGAGCAGCAGGAGACACAUGGCAAUCGCUUGCAGAGCUACACAGGCAUGAACUGCAAGGUCACUAGAUGAGGCAGGCUUUGGCGGCCCGGGUGUAUCACGCCCGGGACAGAGGAAUACCCACAGCUGCAACACUAUUGUAACUCAAUAUCGAGCACCGACGAUGCACCGUGGUUGCUGCCCGCACACCCACAUUAAGCCCACGCAACCCCGUGGCCCACCGCAGCACCACCGAACGCUCGACGUUGCACGCAAAUGGCGGGCUCUCCCCGUCGGCUACCACUCUUGGGCUGCUGCAGGGAAUUCCAGUAUUUUACUUACCUGCUGGUCAACGGUCCGGCUGGGUGUGCGAUGGGACAGUUGUAAGGCAGGUUGGUGAAGUCCCGUAGGGUGCCGCUGGAUGUGCGAUGGGACAGUGGUAAGGCAGGUUGGUGAAGUCCCGUAGGGUGCAGCUGAUUCCCAGAACCCAACAGAUGGCACACAAUUGGCAACGGCAGGGCAUGAGUGCGCGGCUGGUCGAACGCCGGGGUGAUUGUACCGACGAGUUGCUGGCUGGCUGGAAGGGUGCUGAAGCGCAUUCCGGUCCAGCUCGGUAGCGUUCCCAUGUUCCGAAUCCUUGCCGCCCUCGCACACCCUAAAGCAUCCCCUAGUCCUUGGCCACCACGAAGCGGCUGACUGGCUGAUUCUCAGAUACCCAUCCCACCUUCAAAGCGAAACCCACAGGCACAGGUACAACUCAUGUCGCGUUGACUUACACUCGGUUGGGUUUUUCUUCUCGGGGGUGAGAUAUCUGAUGAAUGAUAGCAUCCGAUCUCUCCAGUGUCAAGUAACCAUGCCUAACCCUGAUGCCUAGGGUAUUGUACACGGUGCCGCCACGUAACCAGCAGGUACGGGCUAAUUAUUGUGAAGUCACGCGCGUUUGGGGGAAACCAAUAGCAGCGUAUAUACAAACGCAAAACCGCAUAACCUCAGAACACCAGCAAAACUGAGACCCAAAAGUCUCAAAGAAUGUCCUUGCGUCAUGCGAUCACGCUUGGCUUAGCCACACACCAACAACACACACACACACACUCUCAUUGCACUCGCUCAAACACCAACAAACAUCACACACGGCUCAGAUCGACGAGCGCCUCCAUUUACACGGAGCGCUUGUUGGCGGGCUGGAAGUCGCGGGCAGUCUUGGGGCGCUGGACCAGGAAGCCCAUGAUCUGCACCUGCUUCUGGUUGUCGAAGGCCACCAGGCGCACGUAGGCAUCGGGGAAGGCCUUGGUGCAGGCGACGAUCUCGCGCAGCACCUGCAUGGGGUCGCGGCAGCCGAACAUGGGCAGCUUCCACAUGGUCCAGUAGCGGUUGUCGUAGUACAGCUGCGGGCGCACGGGAAAUGGGAGGGAGAAGAGGUUCAGUCACCAGCGCACAGAACCACCAAAGAUGGAAUUGGGCCCCUUGCUUUUCCGUGCUGAAGCACGAGCAGGGGUAUGCGUCAGUUCCCCGCGGUGAGAUAGGCGCUGUCCCGGUGCCAAGCUAACCCAGUGCCACAGUGGACCCGUCUGGCUCUCGCUCCGACUUACGCAAGACACGCUGCCGAAGCGGAUGGCCGACUCGUUGGACACGUAGGCCUUGUCGGCCUCAGCGAACUCCAGGCAGGGGAUCCAGCCUGCAAGCGACAGCACGAAGGGGGUAAGAUAAGUGGCCGACGCAAGCAGUCCAGGGCUAUCCCAGAUAAGGGCGGAUGACAGGCAAACUAUACAGCAGACAACGAACAAGCUAAUCUCAAGCUUCGAGCGAUCGUAAUGUCGCAGUCUGCAGCUACGCCCUAGAUCGUAUUAACUAGCUCUCAAACACAGCCCAGCUACAUAUGCCCACGGCACCAAGCCGUGCUCACCGUUGGCGACGAUGUAGUCGACCUGGGCGGCGAUCUGCUCGUCGGUCAGAGGAGGCAGGUAGGAGAAGGUCUCGAACAUCCUGCGAUCACGCGAUUGACCAGUACUCGUUAGAAGUGGCAGAGCACGUGCGAUGUGAGGCAGCAGGCUGGGCCCCAAGCAAUUGCGUCGCGACUUGCAGAAUCCCUAUCCUUCGGGCUGCGCUUGCUCGUCGACUCACUUGUUGUUGACCGGGGUCCAGACCAUCAUCUGGUUGGCCUGAGCCGGGGCAGCCACGGGGGCAGCCUUGACGGCGGGCUUCAGCGCGGCCAUGGGGCGCACGCUGGAGCGGGCCGGGCGAGCCACGGCCGCGGAGACGGAGGACUUGGCAAUGACGGCGGCCAUUUUAGAUGUUUGAGAAAGUGGUCGAAUGAACGAGUAAGUUCUUGGGACAAAGACUCGGAGGUGGCCGGUCGCCGUUUUCAAUCCCCGCUCGCCGAUGACCCGUACGGCAGGCUUAUCCGACUCGUCGGCUUUCACGACCGCCCGAGCCUGCGCGCUUCAUCCGCUUCCGGAUAGCUUGCUACGAUAAUGCAUUAUUCAAUUUUACGACGCAAUGUCAUGAGCAGCGCCGGGCGGGCUUAUUUACAUGCGUCGCCUCGCUCGCCGUUGACUUGAUACUUUGGAAAUUCGGGCUCGAUUCGUUGCUACAGCCUGCCUUUUGCACACAAUGUGAACGUCGAUUCUACAUUUGUAUGUGACUGAACUUCGCGGCCCCUACUGAACGUUUCGUGCAAGCGACAUGUCGACUCACAACUUGGAGGAACGCGCGAGGGGUCCCCACACGCACUUUCAGCCUGCUUUGGCGAAAUGGACAUGAUAGGUAUAGCCAGGAUAUGGGUCUGCUAGCUCGCCUGGUGUUUUGACCGUCGAUCGGUUUCGCGUUGGGCCUUGCGGCUGCUCGCUCGCCGCGGAUGCUUCCGCACACUGCGCGGCACGUGUUAGUCUGUGCACGACGACGGUUUGUUUGUAUUGCGCCGCCAACGUUCAACGGUGGUGGUAGGUUCGAAUGUCAGAAUGUCGGGCACGGGGACCUUGGGCGCAUUGCCUACAAGCGCGUGCCUGUGUUUUUGGGGGGCAGAGAAGUGAGCCUGCCUAUUGGGUCACAAUAGCACAGAGGCGGGUGGCCAGCGUCGGGAACUGGUUCAGAACGGCUGCAGGGACAGCACCGUGCGUGCGUGUGUGUGUGGGGGGAGCCUUCAAAGUUGACGAGCUUCGCAGCGCUGGGAUGGACUGGCAUUGCGUGCUUGAGUUUGCGUCCCGUGAGAACCCUGCAGUUUAUGGCGGAGACAGGGAAGAGGGAAUGGGAUCGCGCCGGUGCAGGGAAAGGGCACGAAUCUGAGGUUACGGUAUCUGGGGGGAGGUGCCCAUGUGGGAGGGGAAGCCUAACUGCCUGUCUGGGUGCAGACCAGGAAUGGCAACACGUGAACGGUUAGUAGAGAGCUGUGUGCUGUUGGGCGCUCUCGGCAAGGGGCGUGGGAGGGGGCUGGGUUGGUGGGCGGCUGUCCGCACAGUGCCUAGCAGUGCGCACUCAGGCCCUUCGCAGACCGAAGAGGGCGCCAGGGCCUAUGCGCGCGUGGCUUGGCGUGAGGUUCUUGCUGUUGGCGUCAGGCGCCGCAAAAGGCCGGGUGGCUCUGCAGUGUCCUGCUCGCUUGGCGUGCGGCAAAGUGGUUCAGUCAGCGAGCGCAGUGUAUGCGUGUGUGCGUGUAUGCGUGUGCGUGCGUGUGUGUGUGUGUGUGUGUGUGUGUGUGUGUGUGUGUGUGGUUGCUGCGGAGAGGGCACGCAGCGACACGAGAUUGCCAUGCAGUGGUGCAAGCUGCUGGGGUCGGGUAAACGGGGUGGGAAAGUUGGUGAUGGUGGAAUGUUCUUGUGGCACGAACUGGCCUUGUGCGUAUUCGUUCGCCCCGUUCACUCUGGUCCACCAAUCCCACAGUCACUGCACUUAAAUGCCUAAAAGCCCCUGCUACGGUGCGGACAGGGUAAGGCCACGGCAGGUCUAAGUCCAUAUGCGCCCGUAGAGGUUCGAGUGCGUUAACCGGUCGCAAGGUGUUCACAACAUGUUGAUGUGUUGACAACAUGGCUGUGGUCAAGACGUGCCCUGCGAACUUCCCGUGUUUACAUGUUAAUAGAGCUCGCUGACAGCAGUCAUUUGACACCAUUAUGGAAGAAAACAGAGGGGAUUUAGGGGGUGUACGGCACGGUAUGGCACGGUCGGUCGUCGGUCCGGGGGGUCGGGGGGUUCUGCAGGGUGGGGCCUGGAACUAUUGUUCGUACACCCCCGCCUGGCUCCCCUGCUCCCCCUGACUAACCCCUGACCUCUGGCUUUCUUCGCUUUCCUUUCAGUGUCACCAAUUCUCAUGAGUGGGGGCGCACCCCGAAAUAAGCGGGUACGGUGCUUCAGUUCAGUGCUUGCCACGGCCUCAAGAGCCCCAAACCACGUGCACCGAAAUUCGCUUGCACUCCAAAUGCACUGGGAAGCCAGUAGCAGCGCGCUCUCAAAUGCUGGCAUGUGUCUCUCUCUGUCCAGAGCCUGAAUGCGCCAAGUCUGCUACGGUAGGAGGGUGCAACCCGUGGCCCGCCUUGAACCGCGCUUGCACACACAGCUGGAUUGCUGCUGGCAUGACCGUGUGAAAGAGGUACAGGCAGCCGGGCAAGUCCCAGCGGGCAGGUUGGUGUAGGCUAUGCCCCAUAACAGGCCCGUGCAUGCUGCCACGGACUUCUCGCCAGGAAUGUAAGUCCCGAUGCUAGACAAUUACUCCAGCAGCUGCAUGCCGCCAUCUUCAGUACUCGGUAUCCCUUGGUGCACGCAAGUCAAGGAUCAGUCCCAGGGCUCACCCUGGAGCAAUGCAGCCUGCGUGUGCACCUGCGAUGGAGCCGCGGCCUGCGGUAUUGGCUGCCCGAUUACGAAGCUGCGGGUGGGGGCAGUUGGCACGCAUUCCGCCACAGACCCCGCGAGCCUAGCCGCACCCAAGCUCUAAGCGGCCUAGACCGUGACCAAAGGCGAAGAAGCCGCGGCCAUCCCUGCGCUCAGAUUGCAUUGGUUACAAGAGGGACCUGCUGACGCAGUUCAUGGCUUCAUGCGCUCAGAGCCCGAGCCCUGAGCGGCAGCAAAAGCAGAAGCCACGCUACGUGUGCUAGCUACGACCAAUGCCUUGUACAGCUCUCCUCGGCUGCGCUCUUCGGCUGCGCUCCUCGGCUGCGCGGGACAGGGGACUCCGUGCAACCACUAUUGCUUAUAGCCUGCACCAGUCAUUGACGAGUGUUGCGGAACUAAUGCGUACGUAGACCAGAGCGGAAGGCGGAGUGGGCUUGCAGGCGGCACGAGAGUAGGCAGUCAGUAGCGCAAGUUGCGAAUUCCCAUGUUACCUCGUAACCGACGGUAAACGCUGUGGACGGUCGCGCCCAUGGCUGGCUGACGGAAGCUGGCUGCGGUAUUGGGAUGGCUGGGCUGGAUGACGCCGGCCGGGCUGGCGUUGGGACUACCAGAAAGGAUGCGCCCGAAACCAACCUGGAGAACACCAGCGCCACCGGUGCCCAGCACGACAUGUAAGGGAGGGAGGGAGGGACAGGAGGCGUGAUGCACUGCAGCGUAGAAGCUGCAGUCAUGGGCACAGCUUGUACCAUACAGCACGGUCAUCAAGGACACAAUGCCGGAACGGCAUCAUACGAGGCGGGGUUGGGAGCUGCAGGAAGUGGGCAGCGGGGCAGAAUCAAAGGUUUGCAUCGUUUAGAACAGGUGCGGAACACGCGCCAGCGCCAGCGCGGAGGACCCCAAGUAAGGCCUUUACUCACCAAUGUACGUUUUGUACACCCAAUCUCGCCCCCUAUCGACGUUGGCACUAGGUAGCUGGCUAUCAUUCUAUGCAGAUUAAGCAAAGGGGCACCGGGAACAACUGACUCAUGUUCGUCACUGCAGGUUACUGCAAAUGCUGUCUCCACCUUUGCUGCACGGUUCCGUUUCGUCACGUUUGCUGGUGUUGCUACCCGCCGUUCUUUAGUGUGUAACUGAUCUGCGAACCGAGUCCCCUUCAGCUGAUGAACCCCGCAGCAACUUUUCCAAAAGCGCUUCAAAUACGCCCAGCCCGCCCAUGGAGAAAGAGGCCAAAAUCAACGGAGGAUCGUUACAACCAACAAAAUUGCAAAACUCCUCCGCUUUUUACGUGUUGAAAAAGACUGAUCAGCACGAAACGGGGAGCUAAGCUACCGCUUCAGCACUUGAGAGCAGUAUCUUCCAUCCACCGCCGUUCGUCAGGGGGCAAGGCUCAGAUCAACGAGCGCCUCCAUUUACACGGAGCGCUUGUUGGCGGGCUGCCAGUCGCGGGCAGACUUGGGGCGCUGGACCAGGAAGCCCAUGAUCUGCACCUGCUUCUGGUUGUCGAAGGCCACCAGGCGCACGUAGGCAUCGGGGAAGGCCUUGGUGCAGGCGACGAUCUCGCGCAGCACCUGCAUGGGGUCGCGGCAGCCGAACAUGGGCAGCUUCCACAUGGUCCAGUAGCGGUUGUCGUAGUACAGCUGCGGGCGCACGGGAAAUGGGAGGGAGAAGAGGUUCAGUCACCAGCGCACAGAACCACCAAAGAUGGAAUUGGGCCCCUUGCUUUUCCGUGCUGAAGCACGAGCAGGGGUAUGCGUCAGUUCCCCGCGGUGAGAUAGGCGCUGUCCCGGUGCCAAGCUAACCAGUGCCACAGUGGACCCGUGUGCCAAAAGCUAACCCAGUGCCACAGUGGACCCGUCGGGCUCUCGCCAG
rnacentral:lncRNA from 1 species